rnacentral:rRNA from 1 species
UUGCUUCCGAUAGGCGUCGACCGGCGCACGGGUGAGUAACGCGUGAGCAACCUGCCUUUCAGAGGGGGACAACAGUUGGAAACGACUGCUAAUACCGCAUAAGCGCACAGCUUCGCAUGGCCCUGAUGUCAAAGAUUUAUCGCUGAAAGAUGGCCUCGCGUCUGAUUAGCUAGUUGGUGAGGUAACGGCCCACCAAGGCGACGAUCAGUAGCCGGACUGAGAGGUUGAACGGCCACAUUGGGACUGAGAUACGGCCCAGACUCC